rfam:Triticum aestivum genome assembly, contig: Triticum_aestivum_CS42_TGACv1_scaffold_147950_2BS
AUCAUACUCCCUCCGUCCGGAAUUACUUGUCAUCAAAAUGGAUGUGUCUAGAACUAAAAUACAUCUAGAUACAUCCAUUUCAAUGACAAGUAUUUUCGGACGGAGGGAGUAGUAG